rnacentral:rRNA from 1 species
AUGAGUUAAGUAUAAACCCCUUUACAAGUAUCAAUUGGAGGGCAAGUCUGGUGCCAGCAGCCGCGGUAAUUCCAGCUCCAAUAGCGUAUAUUAAAGUUGUUGCAGUUAAAAAGCUCGUAGUUGGAUUUCUGUUAAUAAUUUAUAUGGUAUUUUAACGAUAUUAUAUAAUAUUAACAUAAUUCAUAUUACUAUAUAUUUAGUAUAUGAAAUUUUACUUUGAGAAAAUUAGAGUGCUUAAAGCAGGCAUUUGCCUUGAAUACUCCAGCAUGGAAUAAUAUAAAAGAUUUUUAUCUUUUUUAUUGGUUCUAAGAUAAAAAUAAUGAUUAAUAGGGACAGUUGGGGGCAUUUGUAUUUAACAGUCAGAGGUGAAAUUCUUAGAUUUGUUAAAGACAAACUAGUGCGAAAGCAUUUGCCAAGGAUGUUUUCAUUAAUCAAGAACGAAAGUUAGGGGAUCGAAGACGAUCAGAUACCGUCGUAGU